rnacentral:tRNA from 1 species
GGGCCCGUGGCCUAGUCUGGAUUAUGGCGCCGGCCUUCGGAGCCGGAGGUCCCGGGUUCGAAUCCCGGCGGGCCCGCCA